rnacentral:tRNA from 1 species
GGGCGGUUAGCUCAGUUGGAUAGAGCACGUGGCUUCGAACCACGGGGUCAGGGGUUCGAAUCCCUUACCGCCCA